CCUACGGGGGGCAGCAGUGGGGAAUAUUGCACAAUGGGGGAAACCCUGAUGCAGCGACGCCGCGUGAGUGAGGAAGUAUUUCGGUAUGUAAAGCUCUAUCAGCAGGGAAGAAAAUGACGGUACCUGACUAAGAAGCCCCGGCUAACUACGUGCCAGCAGCCGCGGUAAUACGUAGGGGGCAAGCGUUAUCCGGAUUUACUGGGUGUAAAGGGAGCGUAGACGGCUAAUCAAGUCAGAAGUGAAAACCCAGGGCUCAACCUUGGGACUGCUUUUGAAACUGAGUAGCUAGAGUGCAGGAGAGGUAA
rnacentral:rRNA from 1 species